CUACGGGAGGCUGCAGUGAGGAGUAUUGCACAAUGGGGGGAACCCUGAUGCAGCAACGCCGCGUGGAGGAUGACGCAUUUCGGUGUGUAAACUCCUUUUAUAUGUCAAGAAAAUGACGGUAGCAUAUGAAUAAGCACCGGCUAACUCCGUGCCAGCAGCCGCGGUAAUACGGAGGGUGCAAGCGUUACUCGGAAUCACUGGGCGUAAAGGACGCGUAGGCGGGUUGGAAAGUCAGGUGUGAAGUCCUACAGCUUAACUGUAGAACUGCACUUGAAACUUCUAAUCUAGAGUAUGGGAGGGGGAGAUGGAAUUAGUGGUGUAGGGGUAAAAUCCGUAGAUAUCACUAGGAAUACCUAAAGCGAAGGCGAUCUCCUGGAACAUUACUGACGCUAAGGCGUGAAAGCGUGGGGAGCAAACAGGAUUGAUACCCCCGUAGUC
rnacentral:rRNA from 1 species